rnacentral:rRNA from 1 species
GAUCAACGCUGGCGGCGUGCCUAACACAUGCAAGUCGAACGCGAAAGUGGAGCAAUCCAUUAGUAGAGUGGCAAACGGGUGAGUAACACGUGGGCGACCUACCUCAGAGUGGGGGAUAACCUUCCGAAAGGAGGGCUAAUACCGCAUGACAUCCCGUGUUUGGAUACACGGAGAUCAAAGCCGGGGAUCGCAAGACCUGG